UCGGGACAUCCGAGACAGGUGGUGCAUGGUUGUCGUCAGCUCGUGUCGUGAGAUGUUGGGUUAAGUCCCGCAACGAGCGCAACCCCUGCCUUCUGUAGCCAGCAUUCAGGAUGGGAACUCAGGAGGGACUGCCCGGGAGAACCGGGAGGAAGGCGGGGAUGACGUCAAAUCAUCAUGCCCCUUAUGGCUUGGGCUACACACGUGCUACAAUGGCGUAAACAAAGGGAAGCGAGCCUGCGAGGGUAAGCGAAUCCCAAAAAUAACGUCCCAGUUCGGAUUGCAGUCUGCAACUCGAGUGCAUGAAGCUGGAAUCGCUAGUAAUCGCGGAUCAGAAUGCCGCGGUGAAUACGUUCCCGGGUCUUGUACACACCGCCCGUCACACCAUGGGAGUCGGGAAUGCCCGAAGCCGGUGGCCCGAUCGAAAGAAGGGAGCCGUCGAAGGCAGGCCGGAUGACUGGGGUGAAGUCGUAACAAGGUAACCGU
rnacentral:rRNA from 1 species